rnacentral:lncRNA from 1 species
UUUGCCAAAAAAGUAGCCAGGAAAGUUGAAAAAGGAACAACAGUUACUAGGGCCCCAACUGUCUUUAAUAGACUCUGAAAUGAAAAAGACCCAAAAGAACUGGAAAAAACGGGUCUAUAGAAUAUCGUUUACUUUCUGUAAUUCAAAAGAACAAGCGGCUUACAUAGAAGUCACUAAUAGAACCUUGGCCCAAUGUUUAAAAGAACACAAAAAUGAUACAGUAAAGGCAAAACUAAUGACAGCUCUAGCAAUGAUGGCUUAUGACACUGACUUAACCAUACACUGGGAUGAUGCAAAAAUCAUAGUACCAAUAACAGAUCCCUCCCAACAUCUCUCAGAUCUCUCCUAACAGAUCUCUUAACAUAGAAACAUUAGAAAUCCUAAAAAGGCAUACUAAGGAACAGCUCCUCAACAAGCACCCGGGAUCUCAAGUGCUGCAGGCUUGGAAAUAUCUCUUACAACAAUCCACCAGAAACCUCAAGACCAGUGGAUCCAUCAUGGAUGCAGAUUAAUAUGAUAAGAUACAAAAUAAUUAUAUUUUUUAAAUAAAAAUUAAUCCACCAUGCAUCUCAGACCAUCUGAGAUGACGUAAACAAAAAUGGGCCGGGUUAACAAUAAGAUACUAGAAUUGCACAUUGUGGCAUCUAUGUGUGAAAGGAUUUUCAUUUUACAAGGACUUCUAAUUUGUUUAUUUUAUUUUAUUUACUUUACCCUUGUUUUGUUUUGCUCAUUUUUUACAUGUUAUUACUUUAUGAUAUAUUAUGUUAAAAAGUUUGUUUAUUUUUAUUUAAAAAAG